rnacentral:lncRNA from 1 species
GGUGAGGGGCAUGACGUCGGCGGUAAGCACGACAGGUGUUACAGUCCAAGGGCAGCCCUGGGAGGGGCGGGCGGCCGGGGGCUCCUGGACGCCCCCCUGCCCCAACCCUGGUCCCCACAUACCAGGGGCCGGUUUGGUCUCCUCUCUGCUUCCCCGCUCGUGCAGGUGGCGAAGAGGGUGGGGGACACCGUGGGGUGAUAGGUCCCCACAAACAGUGGAGCUCUGAUCAUGGUCACGGAAUUGCACAAGAAACCCCGUGGGCCGAGGCGGCCGUGGCAGCUCCACCAACAGCCUGGCCUCAGGCUCCUCUGUCUCCACUUUGCUGGAGCAGCUCACACCCUCGAGCGUUUCCUGGCUUCAUCUUGCCAUCGUACUCUGGCGUCUAGUUACAAUGAGGAACCCCCGUCUGAGCCCAAGGGAGCCCAGCUUCGCUCUCUCAACAUCUCUUCCACCACUUCCCGGGGGCUAAGUGGGAAUUCACUCCAGACAGCAGUUCUGGCCCCAUCAGGGCACAACUCGCGUCUGGGCCAGAACUUCAUCUCUUCAUUGCAGAAAGUUAAGGAAAUCGUUGCUCAGCCAGGGAGCAAAGAUUGGCUCUGCAGCUGCUCUUUUAUGGAGCUGUUAACGCAGAGACACCAUUACUUAAAUGUAAUUUUUAGUAUUACAAUUAAAGACUGAUUUGAUUUUAUGAGAUCAUGCAUUUUUAUUUUAUGGACGUUUUUGUAGUUAAAUUCAAUUUAAAAGAUUGUAUUUAAAGUAAGGUAUAAGCACGGAGCGUAUUAAAGUUAUGUAAGCCUGCUUUUGGCGCUCUGAUAGCAAAGCUUCCAGCACUGGAUUACUCUGGUAGCGCCACAUGUUUCCUGCUACAACUACGUACUAGCUCAGGAGAAACGAACUUGGCUUCCUCUGUUUGUGACAGCCCCAAAUCUAUCAAGCCUCACGAAGCUCACUGUCAAUUUUCUGCAGGAAAGAAACACUCCUCUCCUUUCAGCCGACUCUCCGAGGAAGGACUUCCAUGGACCCAGGUGCUCUUUCGCUGGGAUUUCACUCUCUGUGCGACACGGAGCUGUGCCCGUGGGGACCAGCCUGCAGAAUGCCACGAGCUGUGCCCGUGGGGACCAGCCCUCCCAGGGCUGAGGCCAGCUGAUGACCCGGUGCGAUUUUUGAAGGCUUCGUUUCUGAUGGCAGAAAAGCACGUCAGCGUAUUUGCACGGAAUAGAUUAAGCUGCUGGGAACCACGUCCCCUUCAACCGGACUGACGUGGGACCAAGAAGGGGCUUUGUCCUUGUCACCUGGCCUGUCCUAGGUCACCGGGACAAGCAAGGGAAGCGGUGGACCCUCUUUUAAGCCCCACGUCGCAAAAAUGCGUGAAAUGAGCCCAGACUGAAUUAGAUCCUUCCUCCCACGUAUUUUGGCUGAAAGGUCGCUCUUCCUUCUCUCACUCGUGUUUCCUGGGCGCGAAACCUGGUUUCUCCGCCAUCGAAUUAGCAGAGGAGCAAAGGUUACUCAGAUCUUGGCGCUUUGACGAGUAAGUCCUGCUGGCUGAGUGGGCCCCGUGUCCGGCCAGCGACCGUCCCUCUCACUGUCAGCACCGCCGACCGGAGGGAGCUGGUCCCGCUCGUGNGGGGGGGGGGGGUGGGGGGGGGGGGGGGGGGGGGGCUGCCAGGGGCUGCCAGGG